UACGUAGGGUGCGAGCGUUGUCCGGAAUUAUUGGGCGUAAAGAGCUCGUAGGCGGUCUGUCGCGUCGAUCGUGAAAACUUGGGGCUUAACCCUGAGCUUGCGGUCGAUACGGGCAUGACUGGAGUUCGGCAGGGGAGACUGGAAUUCCUGGUGUAGCGGUGAAAUGCGCAGAUAUCAGGAGGAACACCGGUGGCGAAGGCGGGUCUCUGGGCCGGUAUUGACGCUGAGGCGCGAAAGCCAGGGGAGCAAACGGG
rnacentral:rRNA from 1 species